CUUUGUCAAGUUGAAUGGAAAUCAUAACAGAUUUGCAGUGCAGAAAAAGUCUCAUUAUUUCACAGUUAAGUCAAACGUCCAAAUUGUUUAAGAAAGUUCAGCUUGUUUCUUAAAAUUUAAUAAGUUUCUCAAAGUUUUGGAAAGAAUGUCACGAAAUUUAGCCGCAUUUCUCUUCCUAAUCGUAGCCAUUUUUGCUCUGCACAUGGCUGAUGCAAUUCCUCAAUGCAACGAAGUCUGUGGUAGACCUGUCGACCAGCAGCACGCAUGCUGUGAAGCGAACGGUUAUUUUGCAGGGACUGGAUGCCAAAAUGGUCAAAUGUUCUGUGGACCUCAUCAUUGAUAAAAUGCAUACAAGUUUUCUCGUAGAUUUAAACUUUUAGAGGAGUUUGUGGGGCGUUACUAAAGUGAAUUGUUGAGUAUUUUAAUAAAUUUUAGAAUUGGUGUGAAUA